UGAAUAUCACGAGUUUGGAUUUAGCUUUAAAUACAAAGGUUCCGCAUUGCCUCUGUUUCACACGGAUCCGAGAAGAAGAACAUCUCCCGGAAGUGCAGACGAACAAGCCGAACGGUGAUAACAACCUUGCAUCUUCAAAAUGAAAGAUAAAAAAUAAAUAACAAACAAUGUCAAAUCAUGUCGUUACCAUUUGAACACCACGUUGAGCCACUCGGAAAUAGCUGCCACCCAAACCACCGCAAUGCCCACUCGUUUGCUGAUGAAAUACGUGAAAGGAAAGACAAGAAGAAAUGCAGCUUUUGGAUCUCCCAGAUGUGACAAGACAAGCCAGAAGUUUUCAUAACUCUUCGUCCCCUGCUGGAGAGUUUCCGCCAUCCAAAUGCCGUUUCUAUGAAUGAUGUCCAUGUCUAAAGAACAGUCACGUUAAAGUUGACAAACGUGGGAACAUCAGAGACACAGUUCCUCGGGUUAAGAAGAAGAGGAGGAGGUGGAUGAUGUUGUCCUGAGGAAACCGCUGUGUCCUGACCUACGCUGUCCACUAGAGGGAGCAAUUCUAACGGUUAAACUGCGGUCAAAUAUUAAAAUGGUCAAACCUGUGAAAUAA